CUCGUAGGCGGCUCCGUAAGUCGGGGGUGAAAUACAACGGCUCAACCGUUGGAACGCCCUCGAAACUACAGAGCUUGAGGUCGGGAGAGGAAAGCGGAAUUCCUGGAGUAGCGGUGAAAUGCGUAGAUAUCAGGAGGAACACCGGUGGCGAAGGCGGCUUUCUGGACCGAAUCUGACGCUGAGGAGCGAAAGCCAGGGGAGCGAACA
rnacentral:rRNA from 1 species